rnacentral:ncRNA from 1 species
UAUUAAGCGUUGAAGAGAAGAGUAGCAACUUGUAUCGGUCCAGCGAGUUCCGUUUGGUGAAAGGGAACCCUUUAUAAGUUGUGAAGAUGAUCUUGGAGCUUGUUGGUCGGGUGCCUCAUUUGUGCUGACCAACCGUGGGCAAACGAUAUAUUGCAGCGUAUAGUCAAGUUGGAUGUACGUCAUAAGAUAUUAAUUGUGAGAUUAGUAUAAAAAUUAGGUGGUACCGCGAGUAACCUUCGUCCUAAGU